UGACAACUCUGGCAGAGAUUAGGUCAC
rnacentral:piRNA from 1 species